UCCUCAUUGUCUGGCUUUAUUUUUUGCAUAUUCUUUUUGUUCUUUGACAGAAAUAAGAAUGCUUUAGUAGCCUUUUCAGAGUCCUCUAGCCAGAACAUCAACAAUAGUUCUGAUUGGAAUAAAUUGACAUCAGUAGCCACUGAGGAAGUCUCCAGCAAAAGCCCUGCACCAAGUGAACUGAGCACAGUAUCUUCUGAAAGCUUCUACGAUGCCAACCCUGCACCAAGUGAACUGACCACAGUAUCUUCUGA